GACCGUUUAGCUCAGUUGGAAGAGCAUUGGGCUAGUAUUCCAAAGGUCGUAGGUUCGAAUCCCACUGUGGCCG